rnacentral:rRNA from 1 species
UUCUGCCCUAUCAACUUGUUGGUAAGGUAUUGGCUUACCAAGGUUGCAACGGGUAACGGGGAAUCAGGGUUCGAUUCCGGAGAGGGAGCCUGAGAAACGGCUACCACAUCCAAGGAAGGCAACAGGCGCGCAAAUUACCCAAUCUAGACAGUAGGAGGUGGUGAAGAGAAUUACUAGGUGGUGACACAAUGUGUUACCAGUUUGGAAUGAACGUAACUUAAGAAAUUCGAUGAGAAACAACUGGAGGGCAAGUCCUGGUGCCAGCAGCCGCGGUAAUUCCAGCUCCAGUAGUUUGCUUUAAAGUUGUUGCGUUUAAAACGCUCGUAGUUGGAUCACGCAGCAGUGCCCAGUAAUCGGCUUCCUGACUCUUGCCAAUGAAACCUACUUCGGUAGUCUUUCGGUAGCUGUCGGAAGCAGAUGCCUACGCUGGGCAUUGUUAGUUGCACGUGAGAUGAAUUGUUGGCCUUUAUUGAGCCGGUAUUCUCGUCUUGCGGAGUGUGCCUUGAAUAAAACAGAGUGCUUAAAGCAGGUUAUUGCCUGAAUGUUAUAGCAUGGAACGAACAAUCGUGUAUAUGUAUGCGCCCUUGAGUGGCAACGAGCCUUAGGUUUGUUGUCGGUCAGGAUGUAUACGGCACCCACCAAAAUAUGGCUGUUGGUUCCAUAUACGGUGAUGAUUAAAAGGAGCGGUUGGGGGCAUCGGUAUUUGGCCGCGAGAGGUGAAAUUCUUAGACCGGCCAAGGACUAACAAAUGCAAAGGCACUUGUCUAGACCGUUUCCAUUAAUCAAGAACGAAAGUGGGAGGUUCGAAGACGAUCAGAUACCGUCCUAGUUCCCACCGUAAACUAUGCCGACCUGGGAUCAGUCUAGAGAUGUUACAAGCUCCAGGUUGGGCCCUCCGUGAAACC